GAUGAACGCUGGCGGCGUGCCUAAUACAUGCAAGUCGAGCGAACAGACGAGGAGCUUGCUCCUCUGACGUUAGCGGCGGACGGGUGAGUAACACGUGGAUAACCUACCUAUAAGACUGGGAUAACUUCGGGAAACCGGAGCUAAUACCGUAUAACAUGUUGAACCGCAUGGUUCAACAGUGAAAGACGGUCUUGCUGUCACUUAUAGAUGGAUCCGCGCCGCAUUAGCUAGUUGGUAAGGUAACGGCUUACCAAGGCAACGAUGCGUAGCCGACCUGAGAGGGGGAUCGGCCACACUGGAACUGAGACACGGUCCAGACUCCUACGGGAGGCAGCAGUAGGGAAUCUUCCGCAAUGGGCGAAAGCCUGACGGAGCAACGCCGCGUGAGUGAAGAAGGUCUUCGGAUCGUAAAACUCUGUUAUUAGGGAAGAACAAAUGUGUAAGUAACUAUGCACGUCUUGACGGUACCUAAUCAGAAAGCCACGGCUAACUACGUG
rnacentral:rRNA from 1 species